rfam:Drosophila ficusphila unplaced genomic scaffold scf7180000453205, whole genome shotgun sequence
CAAUCGGUCCUUUUCAGGACCACAAAUUCAUAUUUUAAAGGAGAUG